AGCGAACGCUGGCGGCAGGCUUAACACAUGCAAGUCGAACGCCAUCUUCGGAUGGAGUGGCAGACGGGUGAGUAACGCGUGGGAACGUACCUUUUGGUUCGGAAUAUUCUCGGGAAACUGAGAGCAAUACCGAAUAAGCCCUUAGGGGGAAAGAUUUAUUGCCAAAAGAUCGGCCCGCGUUAGAUCAGGUAGUUGGUAGGGUAAUGGCCUACCAAGCCUACGAUCUAUAGCUGGUCUGAGAGGAUGAUCAGCCACAUUGGGACUGAGACACGGCCCAAACUCCUACGGGAGGCAGCAGUGGGGAAUAUUGGACAAUGGGCGCAAGCCUGAUCCAGCCGUGCCGCGUGAAUGAUGAAGGCCUUAGGGUUGUAAAAUUCUUUCAACGGGGACGAUAAUGACGGUACCCGUAGAAGAAGCCCCGGCUAACUUCGUGCCAGCCGCCGCGGUAA
rnacentral:rRNA from 1 species